UAAAGCUCUUUUGGCGGGGACGAUAAUGACGGUACCCGCAGAAUAAGCCCCGGCUAACUUCGUGCCAGCAGCCGCGGUAAUACGAAGGGGGCUAGCGUUGUUCGGAAUUACUGGGCGUAAAGCGCUCGUAGGCGGUUUGUUAAGUCAAGCGUGAAAGCCCUGGGCUCAACCUGGGAUGUGCGCUUGAUACUGGCAGGCUUGAGUGCAGGAGAGGAUGGUGGAAUUCCCAGUGUAGAGGUGAAAUUCGUAGAUAUUGGGAAGAACACCGGUGGCGAAGGCGGCCAUCUGGACUGCAACUGACGCUGAGGCGCGAAAGCGUGGGGAGCAAACAGGAUUAGAUACCCUGGUAGUCCACGCUGUAAACGAUGAGUGCUGGACGUUGGCGGGCUUGCCUGCCGGUGUCGCAGCUAACGCGUUAAGCACUCCGCCUGGGGAGUACGGCCGCAAGGUUAAAACUCAAAUGAAUUGACGGAA
rnacentral:rRNA from 1 species